rnacentral:rRNA from 1 species
AUGAUUGACUCUGGUACCACAGGAUCAGCCCGGAAUCCGUCCGAAUCCCCAAUGGCGGCGGCAGCGGCAUCGGAGCCACCAGGAAGCCAGCAGAAUCCGCUAUCACCCACACCAAGCAUGGACAAGCAUGACGGCGCCCCAGCCGUGGAUGCCGACAGGUCGAGCCUCACGUCCUACCUCGCCCGUGCCUCGCUCAAGCAGCACCAGCCACAAGGGCGUCCGUCGUCCUCAUCUGCUGCCAUCAUGAGGGACCACCAGCUGUACAACGCCGCCGGCCUCUCCUCCCAGGGACUCAACCUCGGGGACGGGCUCUACAACUUGGCCACCCAAGCCUCCGAUCCAUCCAACAGCCUUGGCGGAGUGGUCCACACCUUCGCCCCACAAGCCUCCCAGGCAUACAACAGCCUAGGUAGCGGGCUCUACAACCUCGCCGCCCAGGGCACCGAGAGAGGCGACCUCGGCAGCGGGCUCUACAAACUCGUCGCCCAGGCCACCCAUGUAGCCGACCUCGGCGGCAGGCUCUGCAACCUUGCCGCCCAGGCCACGCGGGGAGGCGACCUCGGUAGCGGAAGCAGCAGCGAUGUCGAUACCACCGUCGUCGAGGUCGCUUCCCCAAGUGACCUGGGCGGAAAGUUUGUAGAGCCCGCCGUCGAGGUCGGCUCCCUGGGUGGCCUGGUCGGCGAGGUUGUAGAGACCGCCGCUGAGGUCGCCUCCCUGGGUGGCCUGAGCGGCGAGGUUGUAGAGCCCGUUGCCGAGGCUAUUGUAUGCCAUGGAGGCUUGUGCGGCGAAGAUGUAGACUGCGCCGUUGAGGCUGUUGGAUGGCUCGGAGGCUUGGGUGGCCAAGUUGUAGAGCUCGCCGCCGAGGUUUGA